rnacentral:tRNA from 1 species
GCAGCGAUGGUCUAGUGGUCAAGACGCUACACAAAUAUGUCUUGCAAACACAAGCAUGAUGGUGUGCUAUUCUUCUGCACAUCCGUGUCGGAGAUCAUAGUGGCGCACUGGAGUUGUAGAAACGUGGGUUCGAAUCUCACUCGCUGCA